UACGUAGGGUGCAAGCGUUAAUCGGAAUUACUGGGCGUAAAGCGUGCGCAGGCGGUUAUGCAAGACAGAUGUGAAAUCCCCGGGCUUAACCUGGGAACCGCAUUUGUGACUGCAUAGCUGGAGUACGGCAGAGGGGGAUGGAAUUCCGCGUGUAGCAGUGAAAUGCGUAGAUAUGCGGAGGAACACCGAUGGCGAAGGCAGUCCCCUGGGCCCGUACUGACGCUCAUGCACGAAAGCGUGGGGAGCAAACAGG
rnacentral:rRNA from 1 species